CUGUGGCUCUACUAAAACAGAGUGUCAAAAAACCAACCAACCAAAAACUGUUUGCAGAGAAAUAGAAGAAAUUUAAAGCUUUUUUUUUUUUUUAAACUCUCUUCAACUUUGGAUUUUGUUUUCAGUUUUCCCAGGAAGCCACCUACCAUACAGCUUGGGAUAGCUUGCUUGUGCUGUAAACUCUUCUGACAGCCUGGGCCCUCAGAGGCUCUGCUCAGCAGGAGGAGUGAACGACUGCAAGGACAGGAGCCGUGAUUGUGGGCAUGAGGUGAAGCAGGAAAAAGCAAAGUGAAGUAUCUCAAAUGCUGGACAGAGGAUUGUUGCUGGAGCUGAAGCUGUGGGAUGACUAACAUAGAUUUCACAGCUCUCGGCGAAGACAAUGAGCGUUUAUCCAAGGCUCACUGCAUUUGGUGUGCUCCAUCCCUUCUCCCUCAGUUUAAUCUCACCUGGAUAAGGAUUGCAUCCUUACGCACGGGGUGCCGACCUUCCUGCUCCCAAGGGUGUGUGCAGCUGGAUGCCUGUGGCAUUGUGGAAGCAGAGGAAGUGCUGCUGGGCAGGAAAAUAAACCCCAUCUGCAACGUCGUUGGUAGGCUCUGAUGUAAUGCUCAUAUAUCUUUUUGUUGGCUCUUAUUCCUGCUAGCAUGUACUCAUCAUAGUCUAGGAUCUCUAAGAGAGUUUUCCAAAUCCACCUAGGCAGGAUUAGCACCAGG
rnacentral:lncRNA from 1 species